rnacentral:rRNA from 1 species
GACGUAGGAGGCGAGCGUUGUCCGGAAUUACUGGGCGUAAAGAGCGUGUAGGCGGCUCCUUACAUCGGGGAUGAAAGCCCUCUGCUCAACGGGGGGGAGUGUUCACGAGAUGGGGGGAGCUUUGUGGAGUGUGGACGGGGAGUGCGGAAUGGCCGGUGGAGCGGUGAAAUGCGCAGAUAUCAGGAGGAACACCGGUGGCGAAGGCGGGGUCUCUGGGCCGAUACUGACGCUGAGGAGCGAAAGCGUGGGGAGCGAACAGG